rnacentral:tRNA from 1 species
UCCUCUGUGGUCCAGUGGUUAAGACGCUGCACUUCCACUGCAGGGGGUAUGGGUUCAAUCCCUAGUUGAGGGA